UAACAGACAGUAGUUACCCAACACCCAGCGCUAUUGUCUGUCUCAUACUUCACCAUCAAAGCUGAGAAAAGGAAAGGUCACCUCUCUGCCUCGGAUACUACUCCAACCGUACAGGAUUUUCAUUUGUUUUGGGACAUUGUAUGGGGACAUGGACUCAUCUCCAACUUAGACCAUUUCUGAGCUAUGAAAACAUCAGAGAAAAGUAGAUUUGGUAGUCAACUGUCACUAAGGUUUCUUUGUCAGAAGGACUCUGAGAUUUGGGAAUCAACUAUCACUAAGGUUUCUUUGUCAGGAGGACUCUGAGAUUUGGGAAUCAACUAUCACUAAGGUUUCUUUGUCAGGAGGACUCUGAGAGUUCGUUUGGACCCUGAUUGUUUCUCUGGACCCUUAACCACGGACGACGUGAUGUUCCAGGGCGUGUCUGAGAUCGCGGCGCUGUGCGCGGGACUGGUGGGUCUGAUCGGAGCAGCCGCCGUCACCGGGAUGCCCAUGUGGAAGGUUACGGCCUUCAUCGGAGAGAACAUCAUCGUCAUGGAGACGCGCUGGGAGGGCCUGUGGAUGAACUGCUAUAGACAGGCCAACAUCAGGAUGCAGUGUAAAGUGUACGACUCUCUGCUGUAUCUCCCCGCAGACCUGCAGGCUGCCAGGGGCUUGAUGUGCUGCUCUCUGGCUCUCUCAGGGAUGGGUCUACUGGGGGCUCUAGCAGGGAUGCGUUGUACCUCCUGCAUCCAGGACAACAGCCGCGUUAAGAGCCUCAUCCUCAUGGUGGCUGGAGGCAUGCAGUUACUGGCCUCUAUCUGUGUGUUCAUCCCAGUCUCCUGGACGGCUCACGCCAUAAUCCGUGACUUCUAUAACCCUUUGCUGAUCGACGCCCAGCGCAGGGAGUUGGGAGAGGCUCUCUACAUCGGAUGGGUGACCGGAGCCUUCCUCCUGACCUCUGGGCUUCUCUUCCUCUGUCGCCGCGUCCACUCCAACAAAGCCUCGUUCGAUAUCUAUCACCCAGCCAACAGGAUCAACAAACCCACUCUGAUGCACUACCAUCCCAUCUCCAGCAUUCUUAGCGUGAGGGCUCACCGCCAGCCCGGUCUGAACCACCAACAAAGUCACAGCUUCGAUGCAUACCAACACCACCAAGCUCCGAUUCUUCAUAACGUUCCUUAUGGACAACAAGGGGUCGUCAUUAACCCUCCUGCUGCUGUGUAUGACUCUAGCUCGGUGGAGAACGUUGGGCCGUUGGUCUAUCACCGUGGCAACGGACAUCGUGUUGAAGGACACCAUCCCUCCAUCUCUAACAGCUCCAACUACGUCAGCAGCCUGUCCACUCUGGCUAACUCCCUAUACAUCAGCCAACAGACUCCGUACUCCUAUAACCACCUGACCGCUCCGUAUACCACAUAUACCGGUAGUCAACAGACAAAUCCAUACUCCUACAGUCAUCCGGGAAACCUGUCCGUUUCACAAAACUCCAGUUUUCAAGCCGUACCUCAGAAUCCUGUUUUUAUCGGGUAUAAGGGCUCCAGAGUUCAACCAUCGCAGUCUCACCACAGUGGAAGCAGUGUUGGUGUGUACAUCUGAAUAGACUGCAAAGAGACCAGUCAUCGUCUGAUACUCACUGUGCCUUAACAAAUGUAUCGCCUGUGUAUAGUUAUUAGAAUCACAUGGUAUCUUUUUUUUAUUUUUGAAAAGUUAAAUGUCUGUUUUGGUAUUCUGGUAAAACUGUCAUGUGUUCAGUGUUUGGGACAGGUAUAGCUGUGUAGAGUGUUCAGUGUUUGGGACAGGUAUAGCUGUGUAGAGUGUUCAGUGUUUGGGACAGUUAUAGCUGUGUAGAGUGUUCAGUGUUUGGGACAGGUAUAGCUGUGUAGAGUGUUCAGUGUUUGGGACAGGUAUAGCUGUGUAGAGUGUUCAGUGUUUGGGACAGUUAUAGCUGUGUAGAGUGUUCAGUGUUUGGGACAGGUAUAGCUGUGUAGAGUGUUCAGUGUUUGGGACAGGUAUAGCUGUGUAGAGUGUUCAGUGUUUGGGACAGGUAUAGCUGUGUAGAGUGUUCAGUGUUUGGGACAGGUAUAGCUGUGUAGAGUGUUCAGUGUUUGGGACAGGUAUAGCUGUGUAGAGUGUUCAGUGUUUGGGACAGGUAUAGCUGUGUAGAGUGUUCAGUGUUUGGGACAGGUAUAGCUUGUGUAGAGUGUUCAGUGUUUGGGACAGGUAUAGCUUGUGUAGAGUGUUCAGUGUUUGGGACAGGUAUAGCUUGUGUGGAGUGUUCAGUGUUUGGGACAGGUAUAGCUUGUGUAGAGUCUAGAAACUCUAUUCUUAGUUUUUCUUCUGUAAUGUGAUUAUUCAUGUACCAUUUGGGUGUGUUUGUCAGUCCGCUGCUGGCGGUUUUUUGACCUUACCCGUCAUGUGACCUCAGUAAACAAAAAGUUUGGUUUCUCCAGUAAAGAACAUCAUGUUUGAUUCUGCAUACGGGAGAGCCACUUCAAAACGAGGUGAUUUUCGUUGGAGCAGGUCAGGAGAGCUAACCUUUUUCAUAAACUUAAACCUCAUUCUCCUAACCUGCUGUGUUUAUUCUCCUAACCUGCUGCGUAAGUUCUCCUAACCUGCUGUGUUUAUUCUCCUAACCUGCUGUGUUUAUUCUCCUAACCUGCUGUGUUUAUUCUC